rnacentral:rRNA from 1 species
AUUGAACGCUGGCGGCAUGCCUUACACAUGCAAGUCGAACGGUAACAGGUCUUCGGAUGCUGCCGAGUGGCGAACGGGUGAGUAAUACAUCGGAACGUGCCCGAUCGUGGGGGAUAACGAAGCGAAAGCUUUGCUAAUACCGCAUACGAUCUACGGAUGAAAGCAGGGGACCGCAAGGCCUUGCGCGAACGGAGCGGCCGAUGGCAGAUUAGGUAGUUGGUGGGAUAAAAGCUUACCAAGCCGACGAUCUGUAGCUGGUCUGAGAGGACGACCAGCCACACGGGGACUGAGACACGGCCCAGACUCCUACGGGAGGCAGCAGUGGGGAAUUUUGGACAAUGGGCGAAAGCCUGAUCCAGUCAUGCCGCGUGCAGGAUGAAGGCCUUCGGGUUGUAAACUGCUUUUGUACGGAACGAAAAGACUCUGGUUAAUACCUGGGGUCCAUGACGGUACCGUAAGAAUAAGCACCGGCUAAGUACGUG